GCCUCGUGCUGUGUCACUAGGUUCCCCAUCCUCAGCUUCUGAGAGCUGCAGACAUGGGGUAGCCCUGUGACACUCCCCCACACAUGUCCUCUGUCACCCACGUGUGGGCCCUAGUUUCCUUCCCAGACAGCAACUACAGCCAGACAUGCUGAGGCCUGCAGAAUUUCUCUUCCCACAUGAAUGACUGGGCCACUCUAUGCACAGCACAGCCCUGUGAGUGGACUAGUCAGCUACUUGGCAGAACUUCCUUCACUGUGGACCUGAUGACUCCUCAUAAAGUCUUUGCUACGAGCGUUGCAGAAGAACCCUUAUCCAUCAUCAAGGGCAGAUGAGGCAGAAACCAUGAAGGAAUGCUGCUAACUGGCUUGCUUCCUCUGGCUUGCUCACCUACCUUUCUUAUACCACCCAUGCCCACCUGCUCAGGAGUGACUCCAACCCACAGUGGGAGCCUUCUCACGUCAAUCAGCAACCAAGAAAACAUGCUACAGUCUUGCCCACAGGCCAAUCGGAUGGAGGCAGUUCCUCAGUGGAGAGUCCUCUCUUCCCAGGGUUGUGACCAUCUGGCCUUGAUGGAGCCGCUUCCAACCACAACAACCUCCCUUCUGUCCCUCUGUACACUACAAGUCCUGGGAUCCUGGACAAGCAAGGGUACAAGACCGGACUGGCCCAGGAGAGACAUACCAGACAGUGUCCCCAGGUGACCUAGUGCCUCUGUGGAGCAGGCAGGAAGUGUUGUUGCCUGGCCACCCAGCCACCCACAGCCAUCUGCUCAGCUCCCUGGAAACACCCCUGUGGUCUCCGAGAUUACUCAGCAGUCCCCAGCUUCCUGUUCGGUGGGCUGGUUUGUGUCUCUUUUUGCUUUGUUUAUUUGCUUUUUAUGUGUGUUUCAAAAUUUCAAGUGGUGCAGUGAAAAGGAACAGGAGGGACAGAACUGAAUAUUAGUGGCCAGUAAAGUAACUAUCCACCAAGACUAGGGUUUGUUCCCAGGCUUCCUGUGGGGAAAUUAACCCCCAACUGUGAAGCACAAAUUGGGAGGCCACUUAAUACCAUUCUAGUGGUUAGAGAUGGGGCCUUGGGAAUAGAAGAGGUUUUGGUGCUGUCACUGGGAUGAACCUCAGGCAUGAAUCUUCCUGGAUCUAUAGGAACAGAGAGAGAAGGCAAAUACAUGUGUGCACAUCCACACAGGGUAUUUUGCACCAUUUGACCACGUGUACCACCCACGUAUCCAUAAUGACACCACGAAAUACCACUCUCAAUCUUAGAACAAAGCCAGGACCAAAAUAAACCUAUUUAUUUACUCAUGCAGUCGUCCAUUUGAAUGUUUUUGAGACAGGGUCUCUUGUUAUCCAGGUGAUCCUCGAACCUGGUAUAUAGGCAGAAUGACCUUGAACUACUGGUUUCUUGCUUCCACUUCCAGAAUGUUGGGAUUAAGCACUACACCUGAUUUAUGUUAUGCUGUGG
rnacentral:lncRNA from 1 species